AGAUUGGUUCUGUGAUGCUGCCAGAUUCGACUGGCUUGCAAAUUGAAAAGGAUUUGCUCCAGAGGGAGCUGUUGAGCCAAAUUGAUUCCCUCCUGAUGGAGCCGUAGAGCCAAAAACAAAGCCAGAAGAUGGAGGUGCAACCGGUUGUUGAUCAAACAAAGGAACUGUAGAUGUGGUUGCCUGAACAGUGUCCUCAGCCAUGCUAUCCUCCAUGUUCAUUUGAUCACUAUUACCCGCUGGAGAUGACCCAAAUGCGAAGGCAGGAUUUGGGCUACCAAACACAGGUUGUGAUGGAGUAGAUGCUGCAGGUGAGCUUAAGGAAAAAAUAGAACCAGAUGAAGCAGAUGAUCCAAACAUGAUGGAUGUGGUGCUAGUAGCAUUAGAAGCUGAGGAUGCUCCAUACGCAAACCCAGUAG
rnacentral:misc_RNA from 1 species